GGUGUGUUAGCUCAGCUGGGAGAGCACCUGCCUUGCACGCAGGGGGUCAUCGGUUCGAUCCCGAUACGCUCCACCA
rnacentral:tRNA from 1 species